rnacentral:rRNA from 1 species
AUUGAACGCUGGCGGCAGGCUUAACACAUGCAAGUCGAGCGGGGGAAGGUAGCUUGCUACCGGACCUAGCGGCGGACGGGUGAGUAAUGCUUAGGAAUCUGCCUAUUAGUGGGGGACAACAUCUCGAAAGGGAUGCUAAUACCGCAUACGUCCUACGGGAGAAAGCAGGGGAUCUUCGGACCUUGCGAUAAUAGAUGAGCCUAAGUGAGAUUAGCUAGUUGGGGGGGUAAAGGCCGACCAAGGCGACGAUCUGUAGCGGGUCUGAGAGGAUGAUCCGACACACUGGGACUGAGACACGGCCCAGACUCCUACGGGAGGCAGCAGUGGGGAAUAUUGGACAAUGGGGGGAACCCUGAUCCAGCCAUGCCGCGUGUGUGAAGAAGGCCUUAUGGUUGUAAAGCACUUUAAGCGAGGAGGAGGCUACUUUAGUUAAUACCUAGAGAUAGUGGACGUUACUCGCAGAAUAAGCACCGGCUAACUCUGCGCCAGCCGCCGCAGUAA